CAGAUGCACAGUGAGACUUUCUCCAACAGCGUUCAGCAGUUCUGGAGCAUUUUUGGAGGUAUCGAGUGAGCUUGGUGUGCCAGGGUUGUUGUUGGGGUGGCAUGCGGCGUUUAAAUGUACAAGGUGCCAUGAUGUCUAGUUGAGAGGAGAGGGUGGAAUUGUAGAAGGAGGUUGCAGAACUAGGACAGGUGAGGUUUGAGGUAGGUAAAAGGAGA